UACAGAGGUCUCAAGCGUUGUUCGGAUUCAUUGGGCGUAAAGGGUGCGUAGGCGGCGCGGUAAGUCGGGUGUGAAAUCUCGGGGCUUAACUCCGAAACUGCAUUCGAUACUGCCGUGCUUGAGGACUGGAGAGGAGACUGGAAUUUACGGUGUAGCGGUGAAAUGCGUAGAUAUCGGGAGGAACAUCAGUGGCGAAGGCGGCUGCCUGGCCCAAUACUGACACUCAGGUGCGACAGCGUGGGGAGCAAACAGG
rnacentral:rRNA from 1 species